ACGAACGCUGGCGGCAUGCCUAACACAUGCAAGUCGAACGAGACCUUCGGGUCUAGUGGCGCACGGGUGCGUAACGCGUGGGAACCUGCCCUUAGGUUCGGAAUAACUCACCGAAAGGGGUGCUAAUACCGGAUAAUGUCUUCGGACCAAAGAUUUAUCGCCUUUGGAUGGGCCCGCGUUGGAUUAGCUAGUUGGUAGGGUAAAAGCCUACCAAGGCGACGAUCCAUAGCUUGUCUGAGAGGAUGAUCAGCCACACUGGGACUGAGACACGGCCCAGACUCCUACGGGAGGCAGCAGUGGGGAAUAUUGGACUAUGGGCGAAAGCCUGAGCCAGCAAUGCCGCGUGAGUGAUGAAGGCCUUAGGGUUGUAAAGCUCUUUUACCCGGGAUGAUAAUGACAGUACCGGGAGAAUAAGCUCCGGCUAACUCCGUG
rnacentral:rRNA from 1 species